GGGGAUUUAGCUCAGUGGUAGAGCGCUUGCCUAGCAAGUAUAAGGCCCUGGGUUCGGUCCCCAGCUCCG
rnacentral:tRNA from 1 species